AUUAAGACGAAGAAUCUGCCACACAGCAGCGUAGCUCGCAAAUUUUGUCACGACACAAAGCUGCGCAGUUCUUGCUGCUCCCCAAGCCUAGCUAAGAAGAGUUCAUGGAGGCUAUUAGCAGGCUCAUUCGAAUACAUGAGCAGCAGGAAGAAGAAGAGAGGGAGCAGAAAAAAAGAAGAAGAACGAUUUGGGGUUGUAACAAUCACAUCAUCCCCGCAACCCGGUUUUCGAUUGCGAGCUUGGAAUCGAAAGAGAGCCAGAACAAUGAAGAGUGCUCUAUCUGUUUGGAUGAAUUUUCAGAGGGAGAACAAGUCACCCAAACGCCUUGCAAGCACAAAUUCCAUGAUGACUGCAUUUUGAAGUGGCUGAAUGGGAAGCACUUCUGCCCGAUGUGCAGGUUUCAGCUGCCAACCAAGGUGACGAAGGAUGCCAUGAACAAGCUCAUUCUAGGCAGUUGAACUGAGAAAUGUGUUAUGCUGCUGUUGUUGUGACUCAGCUUCUUCUUGUGCUUAUCUUUGACCUUUUGGUUCAAUUGACAAGAAGAACAAUAAGACAAGUUUCAAUUGACUGGGGCUUCGUGUUUUUUAUUUUAUUUUAAUGAAUGCAUGAGUGUGAGUCAACUUUAGCAA